rnacentral:misc_RNA from 1 species
UACGUAAGGUGCAAGCGUUAUCCGGAAUUAUUGGGCGUAAAGCGUUCGUAGGCGGUUUUGCAAGUCUGAGGUUAAAUCCCUUCGCUCAACGGAGGAAUCGUCUCGGAAACUGCAACACUUGAGUCGUGCAGGGGCAGAUGGAAUUCCAGAAGUAGGGGUAAAAUCCGUAGAUCUCUGGAGGAACACCAAACGCGAAGGCAUUCUGCUGGGCACGCACUGACGCUGAGGAACGAAAGCAUGGGUAGCGAACGGG